AAGCAUAUGCUUGUCUCAAAGAUUAAGCCAUGCAUGUCUAAGUAUAAAUAGUAUACAGUGAAACUGCGAAUGGCUCAUUAAAUCAGUAAUAAUUUAUUUGAUAAUGUUUUACAUGGAUAACCGUGGCAAAUUAUGGCUAAUACAUGCACUAAAGCCCAACUCACGAAGGGCUGUAUUUAUUAGAUACUAACCAACAUUUGGUGAAUCAUAGUAACUGAUCUGAUCGCUCGUUAGAGCGAUAAAUCAUUCAAGUUCCUGCCCUAUCAGCUUUCGAUGGUAGUGUAUUGGACUACCAUGGCAGUCACGGGUAACGGAGAAUUAGGGUUCGAUUCCGGAGAGGGAGCCUGAGAAACGGCUACCACAUCUACGGAAGGCAGCAGGCGCGUAAAUUACCCAAUCCCGACACGGGGAGGUAGUGACAAGAAAUAACAAGCCGGGUCCUCACGGGCUUUAGGUAUUGUAAUGAGAUGAAUAUAAAUUCCUCUACGAUUAGCAAUUGGAGGGCAAGUCUGGUGCCAGCAGCCGCGGUAAUUCCAGCUCCAAUAGCGUAUACUUAAGUUGUUGCAGUUAAAAAGCUCGUAGUUGAACUUCUGAUCGGGCACAGCGUUGGCAUUGUCGCGUUGGCGUCCGGUCAUCCGUCUACAAAUCCAUAUCUUCCUUAAGGGUAAGUAUGGCUGAGUAGACACUUUACCUUGAAAAAAUUAGAGUGUUUCAGGCAGGUCUCGCCGGAAUACAUUAGCAUGGAAUAAUGGAAUAGGACCUUUGUCCUUUGUUGGUUUUAGGACAAUCGUAAUGAUUAAUAGGGACAGUUGGGGGCAUUAGUAUUUAAUUGUCAGAGGUGAAAUUCUUGGAUUUAUUAAAGACUAACUAAUGCGAAAGCAUUUGCCAAGGAUGUUUUCAUUAAUCAAGAACGAAAGUUAGGGGAUCAAAGACGAUCAGAUACCGUCGUAGUCUUAACUAUAAACUAUACCGACUCGGGAUCGGAAGGGUUCUUUAUCGGCCCUUUCGGCACCGUAUGAGAAAUCAAAGUCUUUGGGUUCUGGGGGGAGUAUGGUCGCAAGGCUGAAACUUAAAGGAAUUGACGGAAGGGCACCACCAGGAGUGGAGCCUGCGGCUUAAUUUGACUCAACACGGGGAAACUUACCAGGUCAAAACAUGGAUGGGAUUGACAGAUUAAAAGCCCUUUCUUGAUUCUAUGGGUGGUGGUGCAUGGCCGUUCCUAGUUGGUGGAGUGAUUUGUCUGGUUAAUUCCGAUAACGAACGAGACCUUAACCUGCUAACUAGUUCAACUCUGAUAAAGAUUGUAACUUCUUAGAGGGACUAUGCGGAUUUAAACGCAUGGAAGUUUGAGGCAAUAACAGGUCUGUGAUGCCCUUAGAUGUCCUGGGCCGCACGCGCGCUACAAUGGUACGUUCAGCGAGUUAUUUUCAACCUGGCCCGUAAGGGAUCGGGAAAUCUUGUUAGGACGUACCGUGCUUGGGAUAGAUCUUUGCAAUUAUAGAUCUUCAACGAGGAAUUCCUUGUAAGCACAAGUCAUCAGCCUGUGCUGAAUACGUCCCUGCCCUUUGUACACACCGCCCGUCGCUCCUACUGAUUGAGUGUUGAGGUGAACCUUCUGGACUGCGCCUAGGCUUGUACUGGGUGCGGGAAGUUAUGUAAACCUUAUCACUUAGAAGAAGGAGAAGUCGUAACAAGGUUUCCGUAGGU
rnacentral:rRNA from 1 species